rnacentral:rRNA from 1 species
UAUGGUUCCUUAGAUCGUACAAUCCCAUUUGGAUAACUGUGGCAAUUCUAGAGCUAAUACAUGCAACUAAGCUCCGACCUUCGGGGAAGAGCGCUUUUAUUAGAUCAAGACCAAUACGGUUACCGCAAGGUGCCGUUCCGUUGGUGACUCUGGAUAACUUUGUGCUGAUCGCAUGGCCUCGCGCCGGCGACGUAUCUUUCAAAUGUCUGCCCUAUCAACUGUCGAUGGUACGUGCUAUGCCUACCAUGGUGAUUACGGGUAACGGAGAAUCAGGGUUCGAUUCCGGAGAGGGAGCAUGAGAAACGGCUACCACA